CCUACGGGAGGCAGCAGUGAGGAAUAUUGGUCAAUGGGCGAGAGCCUGAACCAGCCAAGUCGCGUGAAGGAUGACGGCCCUACGGGUUGUAAACCUCUUUUGUAAAGGAACAAAGUGAGGCACGUGUGGCUUAUUGAAAGUACCCGAUGAAUAAGGAUCGGCUAACUCCGUGCCAGCAGCAGCGGUAAUACGGAGGAGGCGAGCGUUAUCCGGAUUUAUUGGGUGUAAAGGGUGGGCAGGGGGAUGUUCAAGCAAGCGGGCAAAGUUGGCGGCUCAACACUGUACUGCCGUUGAAACUGGGUUCGUUGAGUACGGGAGAGGUAGGCGGAAGGCGUGGUGUAGGGGUGAAAUGCGUAGAUAUCAAGAAGAAUGCUGAUUGCGAAGGCGGCAUACCGGCGCGCAACUGACGCUCAUGCACGAAAGCGUGGGUAUCGAACAGGAUUAGAUACCCGAGUAGUC
rnacentral:rRNA from 1 species